rnacentral:tRNA from 1 species
UGAGGAUGUAGCUUAGUGGUAGGGUGCUUACCCACCAUGAAUGAGGCCCUGGGUUCAAUUCCAAGCAGCUCAA